CAGUAUGAUGAAAAACUGCAGAUCCAUUACCAGACUGAGCAGAAAAGGAUGGAGAGAAAGCACGUCCUGUACUGUCAGCGA